AUACGGGGGGUGCAAGCGUUAUUCGGAUUUAUUGGGCGUAAAGGGCGCGUAGGCGGCUUGGAAAGUCAGAUGUGAAAGCCCGGGGCUCAACCCCGGAAGUGCAUUUGAAACUAUCAGGCUUGAGUAUGGGAGAGGGAAGUGGAAUUCCUGGUGUAGAGGUGAAAUUCGCAGAUAUCAGGAGGAACACCGGUGGCGAAGGCAGCUUUCUGGACCGAAACUGACGCUGAUGCGCGAAGGCGUGGGUAGCGAACAGGAUUAGAUACCCGAGUAGUCC
rnacentral:rRNA from 1 species